CAUAUACUAUGAUAUUGGCCGGGCUCACUCAGAUGCGCACAUAUGCACUUGAAUAGUUAUGAACGGUGAGUCUGAUUGAGCCGCGCCAAUAUCUUAGUUUUGUUU
rfam:Daucus carota subsp. sativus cultivar DH1 chromosome 8, whole genome shotgun sequence.